rnacentral:lncRNA from 1 species
UAUAAUUGUUCCUAAUAGACAACCUUUGUUUUAUUCCUCCACGUCUUUCCUCUCCUCAUUUCUCUCGGUCAUCCUGGAUUCCUUGGUAAGAUUACUCCGACCAUUCUAAUUAUUAAUCUUUUCUGAUAUAGUGUACAAAUGAAGAAAUUCAUGAGAUAACAUAUCAAAGACUUCGUCUAAAUCUAGAGCAAUCACAAAGAUGUUACAUGAUGAUUCCAGGAAUGGUUGCACAGAGAAAGGAACGUUGUCUAUAAGGUUACUCUUCAGAAAACCACGCUGGGGAGAGGUGCAUAUACUAUGUGUCAGUCAUACUACUGAUUCUGUUGGUCAAAACAUAGGAGGACAUUUUCUAUAUAGGUACUUUGCAUGGUUAACGGUUGGUUAUUCUUCAGGUAUCCUGGUUGCAUGUUAGCUUUUGGAUACAUAACAAUUCGUAUUUCGGAUGCAAAUUGAGGAAAAAACUCCAGAGACAUAUUUCCCUCUUGUAAAAAGAUAGUACAAUAGGAAUCAAGAGGUGAAUGUGAAUUUUGUAAAAUUUGAACGUAAAACUAGACGGUUAAAGGGAAUUACAUAGACUAGCAUUUUGGACAAUGAUAUUAUGACUCUUAGAGCACCUCAAAGAUUUUUCUAUUAGAUCUUUACUUGCUUUUGAUAUUAAUCAUUAAAGAAUAAUUAUAACAUUUUUAGAAACAAUAUAUAUGUUCGAGGCUGGAACUACAAAAACUCAUAUAUCAAACUCUAAUUAUACAUAUGAUUUCAUGUCAUUUCGUUUAAUAAAAAAGAUUGAUUUUUAGUUCAUAAUACAAGGUGAGACCAUCAUUUAAUCGGGCUUGCUAGAAUUUUCAAUUUGAUGUAUCACACCGAAUGCUGGGCAAGAUAGAUCUACUAUGACGUCAAUAUUAAGAGCAUGGUGGAAUACAAACAUCAGUCGUACAUGCGUUAUGGUAUAGCCUUGUAUUGAUUUACCCUGGGUAUUUAUCAAUUUUAAAUAACAUUUUGGAUUUUUUUAAAAUUAUUUUUGUAUAUAUUCAAUUCUUGUUAUAUUGAUUUAAUGUGCAACAUGUUUGUUUUAUAAGUAGUCAUCUACAUUAAAAUUUAAUAAUUAUAAAUAUGAA